AGGGACCACUUUGAUUACAGAGGCAGGUUUGUCCUGGCUGCUAUCCAAGCUCUCAGUUUCUUGUAUUGCGAAAUUUUUCACAGCUCCUUCUGUUACUGUAAAGAUGUUACAGUAAUGUUCAAUCUGAGCAUACCACUUUCUUACCGAGGCCCUCUGGGCCACCCCGUCAGGAGGGGGGGUCCCAGUAGUGACUGUCUUAGUAUCAUUGAAAGGGCUUCUCAAUACAAUUGGUAGUUGUAGUGCAAGUCUUUCCACUUCAAUGAGAGCCAGGCUGACCACAAACAAUCCCUUUUCCCAGGUAGUGUACCUUUUCUCAGCAUCUCUGAAACCAUGGGAAUAGAAACCAACAGGCAUUGUUGGACCCUCGGGUCCCCGCUGCCAAAUGUGUACUGACAAUCCUGAGACAGCAAAUCCCCAUUCUACCUGAAAGGGGACUGUAGGAUGAAUAGGGCCCAGUGCUUGAUGAGCAGUUGCUUCAAAAAUCAGUAAUUGCAAUGCUUCUUCCUGAGAAGGAGUUUUACCCCUUUCCUUAGCAAGUCAUAAAGGGGCCUAGCAAUUAUUGAGAAAUCUGGAAUGUGUUUUCUCCAAAACACUAAUAAUCCCAGAGCCUGUUGUAGAUCUUUCCUGGAAUGAGGCAUUUUAAUCUGAUCUAAAGAAGUUAAGGUAUCAGGUGGAAUACAUGUCAUGCCUCCUUUCCACCAAAUCCCCAGAAACUUUACUUCUUGAGAGGGUUUUUGAACCUUUUCUGGGGGGAUCUGUAAAUCGAGACUCUCUAAAUGGGAGAUUAUUUUCUGUUGAGUCUCUCUUACUGCUUCAAUUUCAUCCCCUCCCACCAAAAUAUCAUCAAUGUAUUGAUACACUGCUACAUCAUCAGGUUUGGAUAUCUCCUCUAGUUCUUUAGCUAAGGCAUGGUGGGCUAAGGUGGGUGAAUGCUUGUAUCCUUGUGGGAGUCUAGUGGAAGUGUAUUGCUGUCCUUCCCACGUAAAGGCAAAACGGUCCAUGUCUUCUGGUUGUAAUGGUAUCAUAAAGAACAUAUCUUUGACAUCUAUAGUUGCCAUAAUUGGAUGAGCUUUUUCUUGAAUAGAUGUUAUUAAUUCUGCUAAGUUUGGGACCGCUGCUGUGAGAGGAUCUGUGUUGGCAUUAAGCCUGCGAAAAUCGACUGUCAGUCUCCAUUUCCCAUUAGGUUUUCGGACUGGCCAGACGGGUGAGUUGAGGCUGGGGCUGGGGCUGGGGCAGCCAGCCCGACACAACCAAACCCCCAUGGUGGGAGCAGAGGUGGGACUCCAGACCCUGUGCAGGGGCUGCUUUGCUUUGCAGGCAAGGAAGGGCUUGGGCUGCUCCUCUGCCCUUGUUUGCUUUGGGAACACCAUGGGGGCAGUGCAGAGAGAAGGGAGAAAGCCUGGGAUUCCCUCACCCAUGGUGGGUUUUUCCCUGGCAAGCAGGGGUUGGACCUUCCUCAAGUCCCUGACAGAGAUAAGAUUUUUGACCUUUAUCCUCACUCCUCUUUUUGUCUGUAAUCUAUUUUCAGUAAUUCGAUGUUUGUUUUUCUAGAGGAAGCGUUCUAUGUAAGGUCCAGUCUGGAUCAGGAAGUGCUUGGGAGCAGCUGCGGCGUGGAUGGGCCGUGCCCUUGGAGAAGGCUGAGGACAUCGUUUGGGACCAGCUUUUCUCCCAGCGGUGGAUGGCGUGAGCCGGGCUCUGCGGGUGCUGAGGCUGCUCUGGGCCCUGCCAGGGCUCUGCUGGAGCUCAGCACCGGGCUGCAAUCAGCAAAAGGAGAAAUGGGGUGCCCUGCAGCACAGACUUGCUUGAGCAUUUCAGCAACACAGUUCAAGUCUGCAGAGUGUACACCUCCAAGGGAAAACAUGGCACCACCCAAAAAAUAAACUUGUUCAAUAA